CAAUACCGCGUGAGGGAGGAAGGCUCUUGGGUCGUUAAACCUCUUUUCUCAGGGAAGAACACAAAUGACGGUACCUGAGGAAUAAGCAUCGGCUAACUCCGUGCCAGCAGCCGCGGUAAUACGGAGGAUGCAAGCGUUAUCCGGAAUGAUUGGGCGUAAAGCGUCCGCAGGUGGCUAUGUAAGUCUGCUGUUAAAGAGUCUAGCUCAACUAGAUAAGAGCAGUGGAAACUACAUGGCUAGAGUGCGUUCGGGGGCAGAGGGAAUUCCUGGUGUAGCGGUGAAAUGCGUAGAGAUCAGGAAGAGCACCGGUGGCGAAGGCGCUCUGCUAGGCCGCAACUGGCACUGAGGGACGAAAGCUAGGGGAGCGAAUGGGAUUAGAUACCCCAGUAGUCCUAGCCGUAAACGAUGGAUACUAGGCGUGGCUUGUAUCGACCCGAGCCGUGCCGUAGCUAACGCGUUAAGUAUCCCGCCUGGGGAGUACGCCGGCAACGGUG
rnacentral:rRNA from 1 species